rnacentral:rRNA from 1 species
GAUGAACGCUGGCGGCGUGCCUAAUACAUGCAAGUCGAGCGAACGGACGAGAAGCUUGCUCCUCUGAUGUUAGCGGCGGACGGGUGAGUAACACGUGGAUAACCUACCUAUAAGACUGGGAUAACUUCGGGAAACCGGAGCUAAUACCGGAUAAUAUGUUGAACCGCAUGGUUCAAAAGUGAAAGACGGUUUUGCUGUCACUUAUAGAUGGAUCCGCGCUGCAUUAGCUAGUUGGUAAGGUAACGGCUUACCAAGGCAACGAUGCGUAGCCGACCUGAGAGGGUGAUCGGCCACACUGGAACUGAGACACGGUCCAGACUCCUACGGGAGGCAGCAGUAGGGAAUCUUGCGCAAUGGGCGAAAGCCUGACGGAGCAACGCCGCGUGAGUGAUGAAGGUCUUCGGAUCGUAAAGCUCUGUUAUUAGGGAAGAACAUAUGUGUAAGUAACUGUGCACGUCUUGACGGUACCUAAUCAGAAAGCCACGGCUAACUACGUG